rnacentral:rRNA from 1 species
UACGAAGGGGGGCUAGCGUUGUUCGGAAUUACUGGGCGUAAAGCGCACGUAGGCGGGUUUGUAAGUAGGGGGUGAAAUCCCAGGGCUCAACCCUGGAAUUGCCUUUAAGACUGCAUCGCUAGAAUUGUGGAGAGGUAAGUGGAAUUCCGAGUGUAGAGGUGAAAUUCGUAGAUAUUCGGAAGAACACCAGUGGCGAAGGCGACUUACUGGACACAUAUUGACGCUGAGGUGCGAAAGCGUGGGGAGCAAACAGGG